AUUGAACGCUGGCGGCAUGCUUUACACAUGCAAGUCGAACGGUAACAGGCCGCAAGGUGCUGUCGAGUGGCGAACGGGUGCGUAAUGCAUCGGAACGUGCCCAGUCGUUGGGGAUAACUACUCGAAAGAGUAGCUAAUACCGCAUACGAUCUAUGGAUGAAAGCGGGGGACCGUAAUGCCUCGCGCGAUUUGAGCGGCCGAUGUCAGAUUAGGUAGUUGGUGGGGUAAAGGCUCACCAAGCCAACGAUCUGUAGCUGGUCUGAGAGGACGACCAGCCACACUGGGACUGAGACACGGCCCAGACUCCUACGGGAGGCAGCAGUGGGGAAUUUUGGACAAUGGGCGAAAGCCUGAUCCAGCAAUGCCGCGUGCAGGAAGAAGGCCUUCGGGUUGUAAAAUGCUUUUGUACGGAACGAAACGGCUCUGGUUAAUACCCGGGGCUAAUGACGGUACCGAAAGAAUAAGCACCGGCUAACUACGUG
rnacentral:rRNA from 1 species